GAUGUAACAUUGCUGUGCCAGAAUCUGUCUCAUCCAGAUUGGUCUGCAAACUAGAUUUUAAUUUGUUGAAGGGAGUGAAUAACUGAUAGGUUAAUGGCAGAUUGUUGAUCAUGUAUAUAUUGUUGAGUUAUAACUUGUUAUAUUGUUGAACUAGUUAAUGGUAGAUUGUUGAUUUUUUUGUUGAUGGUGAUGCCUUUAAUAAUAAUGUUGCUGCAUAGUGUUGGAAAAUUUAUCGUUAGUUUUGAAAUUAGAAAAAAGAAUCAAUAGUAUAAUGUGAUUUUGAAAGGCUUUUAAGACUUUAAUUUGAAUAAUGUGACCAUAUAUAUGAACUAAAACUAUAUGACAAGGAUAGGAUUAUUAUUAUUAUUACCUGCUAUAAGUUGGAUGAACAUGCCAUGAUGGUGAAUUCAGGAGUGAUUGAAUAUUGUCCGAGAACAUUAAUUCAAUUAUAGUAGUACAACUAAUUUUAAAGAUUAUUAUUUUUAUUAUGUCAAAUUAAGAUUCUAUUGAUGAUAUGUAUUUUAAAUUUUUCAAAUUUUUGACUAUUUUAUAUUUUUUAUUUAUGU
rnacentral:lncRNA from 1 species